rnacentral:lncRNA from 1 species
AGGGACCAUUACAAUUCACUUUGUUAUGAAAUUGAGUAACAAGGGUAUUGUUAUUAGAACAUAGAAGCACAUACAUAUCUAAAACUGAAUAACAAAGUAUCCGUUAAAACUCUACCAUCCACUGUACUUGGAACAAAGCGGCACUGGUUCUUUUAUAGUAUAAAUGAUAAAUUGAUAAUGGAAGAUUCAAAAACUAAGAGAAAGAAAAGAUUUAAGUAAACCUGAGCUUCUUCGUGAUCCUGACUCCUAACUCCUAAGACCGUAACGUUGCCUCGAUGAUGAGCCGUAACCAUCUCUCAAACCAUCCAUCUAUCUACACGAGUAUAACAUACCAAGAUCUUGAUGACAUGAUACGUUCUGCGGAAUGCAAAGCUGAAUCUUUGUCAUUAUGAUGACGUUCUUGGCUUCGUCUUUUCUAUUCCAAAUUAGAAUCCGAAAAAAAGUAAUCACCUUCAUAGCCAAGCUGCAAUUUUUACAUCUCCCUCCAUCACUCCAAGGAAUGUUUUGAUUUGACCUCUCCCGGAGUCUCACCGAUUACGUAUUUUCCAGUUAUAUGACGUGUCAACGACUAAUUGGUGGUAAUGGACCUUUUCGUCUGCGUCGGUCGGGAGGGAGCGAC